rnacentral:rRNA from 1 species
GACGGGGCCCGCACAAGCGGUGGAGCAUGUUGGUUUAAUUCGAAGCAACGCGAAGAACCUUACCAGGUCUUGACAUCCCUGACAACCCGAGAGAGUCGGGCGUUCCCCUUCGGGGGACAGGGUGACAGGUGGUGCAUGGUUGUCGUCAGCUCGUGUCGUGAGGUGUUGGGUUAAGUCCCGCAACGAGCGCAACCCCUACGUUUAGUUGCUAACGCGUGAAGGCGAGCACUCUAGACGAACUGCCGUUGACAAAACGGAGGAAGGUGGGAUGACGUCAAAUCAUCAUGCCCCUUAUGUUCUGGGCUACACACGUGCUACAAUGGCCGGUACAGACGGACGCAAAGCCGCGAGGUGGAGCAAAUCCUAAAAAGCCGGUCUCAGUUCGGAUUGCAGGCUGCAAUUCGCCUGCAUGAAGUCGGAAUCGCUAGUAAUCGCAGGUCAGCAUACUGCGGUGAACACGUUCCCGGGCCUU